rnacentral:rRNA from 1 species
AUUGAACGCUGGCGGAAUGCUUUACACAUGCAAGUCGAGCGGGCAGCGCGGGGCAACCUGGCGGCGAGCGGCGAACGGGUGAGUAAUACAUCGGAACGUACCCAGUUGUGGGGGAUAGCCCGGCGAAAGCCGGAUUAAUACCGCAUACGACCUGAGGGUGAAAGGGGGGGAUCGCAAGACCUCUCGCAGUUGGAGCGGCCGAUGGCGGAUUAGCUAGUUGGUAGGGUAAAGGCCUACCAAGGCGACGAUCCGUAGCUGGUCUGAGAGGACGACCAGCCACACUGGAACUGAGACGCGGUCCAGACUCCUACGGGAGGCAGCAGUGGGGAAUUUUGGACAAUGGGGGCAACCCUGAUCCAGCCAUUCCGCGUGAGUGAAGAAGGCCUU